AUUGAACGCUGGCGGCAGGCCUAACACAUGCAAGUCGAACGAGUGGCGGACGGGUGAGUAAUGUCUGGGAAACUGCCUGAUGGAGGGGGAUAACUACUGGAAACGGUAGCUAAUACCGCAUACCAUCAGAUGUGCCCAGUUGGGAUUAGCUUGUUGGUGGGGUAAGGGCUCACCGAGGCGACGCUCCCUAGCUGGUCUGAGGGGAUGACCGGCCACACUGGAACUGGGACACGGGCCAGACUCCUACGGGAGGCAGCAGUGGGGAAUAUUGCAGAAUGGGCGCAAGCCUGAUGCGGCCAUGCCGCGUGGAUGAAGAAGGCCUUCGGGUUGUAGAGUACUUUCAGCGGGGAGGCGUUACCCGCAGAAGAAGCACCGGCUAACUCCGUGCCAGCAGCCGCGGUAAUUC
rnacentral:rRNA from 1 species